CCUACGGGUGGCUGCAGUGGGGAAUAUUGGACAAUGGGGGGAACCCUGAUCCAGCCAUGCCGCGUGUGUGAAGAAGGCCCUCGGGUUGUAAAGCACUUUCAGUGAGGAAGAACGCCUGGUGGUUAAUACCCAUCAGGAAAGACAUCACUCACAGAAGAAGCACCGGCUAACUCCGUGCCAGCAGCCGCGGUAAUACGGAGGGUGCGAGCGUUAAUCGGAAUUACUGGGCGUAAAGCGCGCGUAGGUGGCUUGAUAAGCCGGUUGUGAAAGCCCCGGGCUCAACCUGGGAACGGCCUCCGGAACUGUCAAGCUAGAGUGCAGGAGAGGAAGGUAGAAUUCCCGGUGUAGCGGUGAAAUGCGUAGAGAUCGGGAGGAAUACCAGUGGCGAAGGCGGCCUUCUGGACUGACACUGACACUGAGGUGCGAAAGCGUGGGUAGCAAACAGGAUUAGAUACCCGAGUAGUC
rnacentral:rRNA from 1 species